rnacentral:lncRNA from 1 species
AUGUCACCAGGGGGCCCCAAAACCCAAUCGGAUGUCACCAGGGGGGCCCCAAAACCCAAACCCUGCUUAUAUGGACAGGGGGACAUCACUGGGCCACCCCCGCUCCCCAAACCCCGGUGGGACGGAGACGGGGACGUCACCAGGGUGUCCCCAAACCCCAGUCAAUAUGGAUGGGGGGACGUCACUGGGAUGUCCCCAAAUCCCAAUUGGACAUCACCGGGGGGUCUCCAUACCCCAUAUCCCAGUCAUAUGGACAGGGGGACAUCCCUAGGCCACCCCCGUCCCCCAAACCCCGGUGGGACGGACACGGGGACGUCACUGGGGGGUCCCCAAACCCCAAACCCUGGUCGGAUGUCACCAGGGGGUCCCCAAACCCCGCUGGAUGGACACGGGGACGUCACUGGGGUGUCCCCAAACCCCAAACCCCAGUUAUACGAACAGGGGGACAUCACCGGGGUGUCCCCAAACCCCGAACCCCGGUCAUAUGGAUGGGGGGACGUCACUGGGAUGCCCCCAAACCCCAAUUGGAUGUCACUGGGAUGUCCCCAAACCCCAAACCCCAGUUAUAUGGGCUGGGGGACAUCACCGGGGGGUCCCGAGACCCCAAACCCCGGUGUGACGGACACGGGGACGUCACUGUGGUGUCCCCAAAUCCCAAUUGGAUGUCACUGGGGUGUCUCCAAACCCCAAACCCUGGUUGGAUGUCACCAGGGGGUCCCCAAACCCCAAACCCCAAUUAUAUGGACAGGGGGACAUCCCUGGGCCACCCCCGCCCCCCAAACCCCGGUGGGACGGGCACGGGGACAUCACGGGGCCGCCCCCACACCCCGCACCCAUGCGGACAGACGGACAGACGGAUGGCCGCGGGGCCGGACAGACCUUCCUCGUAGGGGGUGUACUCGACGUGGUAGGUGCCGUCGCCCCGGUCCUCCACGAAGGUCUCGGUGCUGCCCCCCGAGGGGUUGGAGACGCGCGCCUUCACCUGCGGCCCCCCCGCUGGGCUCAGCGCCCGCGCGUCCACCUCGAACUCCGUCACCGCCUCCCGGAAGACGCCUGGGGGGCGAGGGGGGGGACACGGCGUCACCGCGGCCUCCGGUGGGACCCCCCCGGGGCGGGGGGGAGACCGCCCAGGGCCUCGACGGGGCCGUAAGGGGAGGGGA